AUUGAACGCUGGCGGCAUGCCUUACACAUGCAAGUCGAACGGUAACGGGCCUUCGGGUGCCGACGAGUGGCGAACGGGUGAGUAAUACAUCGGAACGUGCCCGAUCGUGGGGGAUAACGAGGCGAAAGCUUUGCUAAUACCGCAUACGAUCUACGGAUGAAAGCAGGGGACCGCAAGGCCUUGCGCGGACGGAGCGGCCGAUGGCAGAUUAGGUAGUUGGUGGGAUAAAAGCUUACCAAGCCGACAAUCUGUAGCUGGUCUGAGAGGAUGAUCAGCCACACUGGGACUGAGACACGGCCCAGACUCCUACGGGAGGCGGCAGUGGGGAAUUUUGGACAAAGGGCGCAAGCCUGAUCCAGCCAUGCCGCGUGCAGGAUGAAGGCCUUCGGGUUGUAAACUGCUUUUGUACGGAACGAAAAGCCUUCUUUUAAUACAGGAGGGUCAUGACGGUACCGUAAGAAUAAGCACCGGCUAACUACGUG
rnacentral:rRNA from 1 species